rnacentral:rRNA from 1 species
UGAGGAAUAUUGGUCAAUGGGGGAAACCCUGAACCAGCGACGCCGCGUGUGGGAUGAAUGGGCUUUGCCCUGUAAACCACUGUCGGAGGGGAAGAAAAGCCGGGUUACCCGGCUGGGACUGUACCCUAAAAGGAAGGAUCGGCUAACUACGUGCCAGCAGCCGCGGUAAUACGUAGGAUCCAAGCGUUGUCCGGAAUUACUGGGUGUAAAGGGUGCGCAGGCGGACUUGUGCGUCAGAGGUUAAAUACUACGGCUCAACCGUGGAAAUGCCUUUGAUACGGCAAGUCUUGAGUGCGAGAGAGGAUGGUAGAAUUCCUGGUGUAGCGGUGAAAUGCGUAGAUAUCAGGAGGAAUACCCGUGGCGAAGGCGGCCAUCUGGCUCGCAACUGACGCUCAGGCACGAAAGCGUGGGGAUCAAACAGG